GAUGAACGCUAGCUACAGGCUUAACACAUGCAAGUCGCGGGGCAGCAUGGGGGUUGCUUGCAAUCCCCGAUGGCGACCGGCGCACGGGUGAGUAACGCGUAUCCAACCUGCCCUUCACCACGGGAUAACCCGGCGAAAGUCGGACUAAUACCGUAUGUUGUCCAUUGACGGCAUCCGAUUUGGACGAAAGGCUUGGCGGUGAGGGAUGGGGAUGCGUCCGAUUAGCCAGACGGCGGGGUAACGGCCCACCGUGGCUACGGUCGGUAGGGGUUCUGAGAGGAAGGUCCCCCACACUGGAACUGAGACACGGUCCAGACUCCUACGGGAGGCAGCAGUGAGGAAUAUUGGUCAAUGGGCGUAAGCCUGAACCAGCCAAGUAGCGUGCAGGAUGACGGCCCUAUGGGUUGUAAACUGCUUUUAUGCGGGGAUAAAGUGGCCCACGUGUGGGCUUUUGCAGGUACCGCAUGAAUAAGGACCGGCUAAUUCCGUG
rnacentral:rRNA from 1 species